rnacentral:lncRNA from 1 species
CACCCUCUGACUGCUCCACAUUCCACCCCUCCUCCCCAGCCCACUUUGUCUCCACGUGGAUACCCCACCUCCACCCCACCUGGCUUCUAAAAUCCAUGGAGCCUCCAGUCUCUUGCGGGUUAGGUGCAUAAUCUUACAUUUAAUCUUGUAAAACUCUUUUCGAUCCUUCUACUUCUUACUGUGGCUUUCACAUAUCAUGUAGUAGACAAUCAUUUUAUGAGUUAGGUUGAAUCAUCUCCAUUGGUAGCUCCUAUUUACAUAAGACACUAGGAAAUUAUUCAAAUCAUGGACUCAUCUUGUUUGCAUAGACAAAGAUAGUAUACCAGGCUCCCUCCAUUAUAUUACCUCAUUAAGCUUCAUUCAUCAGACAUGGGUUAAACACCUAAUAAUUACAGGUUACCAUGUUACUCUGUCCUAGAAAUAGGACCAAAUAUAAUUACAUAAUCAUGUAUCUGAAACAUUUGUAAUUAUAUACAUCUCACAUACUUAAAAUAAAUUUCUAAAAUAAAAUAAUUAUACUAACUUGGUAUCAGUUACAUCUUGUCUAAAUAAAUUCAAAAUACUCAUGUUUGUUUAACCUCAUGUAAAUGCUGAUAGCGACUUAGUCCUUCCACCUGGGCUAAGUAGAUACUGAGGUAUUGAUCUUCUUCAAUAACUUUUCCAAAUUCACAAGAGAUGAAAAUUUUGUUUCUUUUCAGCACUUUGGUUUCUUUCUUUCUUUCUUUCUUUCUUUCUUUCUUUCUUUCUUUCUUUCUUUCUUUCUUUCUUUCUUGUUUCAGACUCUUCGAUAAUAGCUGUUUCCUAGGACUGCUCAUAAACAGAAGAAGAAAUGUAGCUGAGGUCUCAGGAACAGCAAACAAUUGUGGAAAAUCAUGAGCAUCAAUUACUACAUCUUCAAAAACUGAGCAAAUCUGAAGAACUACAAUAUAUGUUUCUAUGUAUCAGGACAAGGACAGCCUGGUUCUGACUGUGCAAAGCUGCGGCUUUGCCUCCAGUGGAUGCCUUCAGAGCAGCAGAUCUGACUUCCUCCUCCAACCAAGGAGUCCUAAAAACAUCCAAGCAAAGGAAGCAUAUUUUCCCCAUGACAUGAGAAAGGGCCACAGAGAUCCAAAUGAAAACGGACAUUUCGCCCGAGUGACUGUUUGUAUCUCACCUUGGCUCUGUGCCUAAUUCAACAGGCACUUAGGUGGCUGAAGAGGGAAUUUUUCGUUACCGUGAAUCCAGCCCCGGGUUGGACAGAGAGCCUUUUGACGGCAGACCGAGUUCCUUGUGCUCGCUGGCAAAAUGACCACAUUUCUCUUCCAGUUGUUGUAGGGGUUUGAAAAAUCCCUCACUUCCUGGCAAAAGUUUUCUUUCUCCAGGAGAUAAAGGCAAGGCAUCUUCUGUCUACCCAUAGAAUACUUCUAUCACCUCAGAAACAGUUUUCAGCAAGGCAGGGUUGCUUGAACACUCACGUUAGCUCUCCACGGACUCUCGACAGCUGGCUGAUGACCAAAGAGUCUCAGGGAAGUACUCCCUUCUCUGAUUGUCCAUGUCAGUGGGAGUCUGCGGGCUGUCAUCAGAAAGUUCAUCUUACAUGUAUGACUAUGGGGCCUGUGUGUGUUCAAAUAUAUGUCUGAGGUAUGGGCAGAGUGCCUAGUUUGAAGCUUUUGUGCAUACUCAAGAACCAUGACUGAGAAGGCCAGAGCAGAAUGAAGGUAACACUCACUCUUUUGUUGCUCCCUAGGAAGUACCAUGACUUCUUUGGUGAUAGGAGUCUAGUGUAGUAAUAUAGACAUACCACUGCGUUAUUCAGAAAUAGACAACACAACCUACCCUGGUGGCAAAAUGAAUCAACACAAUCCUUCUCAGUGACAUUUUAGCAAAGUAAGUUGAGAACUUUAAAAUGCCAUAUCUCUACUUUGGAAUUGUUUUUAAGUUUAAACAACACAAAAUACAGUGUAGACAAUGUAGUUUAAAAUAGGAUGUCCUGGUGAGUUUUGGUCAACUGGACACGAACCAGAGUCAUUUGGGAAGAGCAAAACUCAGUUGAGAAAAUGCCCACAGCAGAUUGGUCUGUAGGACAUUUGUUUGGAUGGUGAUUAUUGUAGGAGGGCCCAUCCGCUUAUGGGCAGUGCCACCUCACCUGGACAGGUGGUCCUGGGAAUAUAAGAAAGCAGGCUGAGCAAGC